GGAGUCACAGGCACACACCACCACCCUCAGCAAGAAAUUCACUAAUUAAGAGAAAUGCCUGGAGCGUGGGCUGAUACACUUCAGAAAUAUCUUCCAUAAAUAUUCUCUCUCAACAAAAUUCUGGACAAUAACUGACAGAGAAAUGGUUAAGUGCAGAACACCAACUCUAAUAGCCACCAGAGUACAAGACAACACUAAAAUUUCAAGAAUGCCACUCUGUUUUGUGCAGAAGUACCUGUUACCAAAUGCUGAAAUAAGCUAGAGAACUCAAUUUUAAGAAAAGUC